rnacentral:rRNA from 1 species
CUUAAGUUUGGGUGGCGGACGGGUGAGUAACGCGUAAAGAACUUGCCUCACAGCUAGGGACAACAUUUGGAAACGAAUGCUAAUACCUAAUAUUAUGAUAAUAGGGCAUCCUAUAAUUAUGAAAGCUAUAAGCGCUGUGAGAGAGCUUUGCGUCCCAUUAGCUAGUUGGAGAGGUAACGGCUCACCAAGGCGAUGAUGGGUAGCCGGCCUGAGAGGGUGAUCGGCCACAAGGGGACUGAGACACGGCCCUUACUCCUACGGGAGGCAGCAGUGGGGAAUAUUGGACAAUGGACCAAGAGUCUGAUCCAGCAAUUCUGUGUGCACGAUGAAGUUUUUCGGAAUGUAAAGUGCUUUCAGUUGGGAAGAAAGAAAUGACGGUACCAACAGAAGAAGUGACGGCUAAAUACGUGCCAGCAGCCGCGGUAAUACGUAUGUCACGAGCGUUAUCCGGAUUUAUUGGGCGUAAAGCGCGUCUAGGUGGUUAUGUAAGUCUGAUGUGAAAAUGCAGGGCUCAACUCUGUAUUGCGUUGGAAACUGUAUAACUAGAGUACUGGAGAGGUAAGCGGAACUACAAGUGUAGAGGUGAAUUCGUAGAUAUUUGUAGGAAUGCCGAUGGGGAAGCCAGCUUACU